rnacentral:lncRNA from 1 species
AGGCGCUGUUGUAGGAGCAAGGUAUACAAUGAUGAUCAAGGCAGAUGCAGCCCUUACCUUCAGGUCGUGGAGUCCGGAUACAGACUGGAGGCAGAGGCAGCUGUAAGAUGUGUGACAAAUGCUGCGCUGGAUCAGCCCAUGGUAUUAGGAGAGCAGCUGAGUGCCACGUGCUGACAUCACUAAGAUCAAUACAGCAAACUCUGAAAGAUGGACGGAGAGACAGGAGAUGGUCCUUUAUAAUGCAGUGUGAUCUGUGCUGCAAUAGAGUUUUGGAAGCUAGAAGUUCAAAACGAGGUGUUGGCAGCACCAUGCUCUCUCUGAAGAUGCUAGGAAGAAUCUGCUCCAUGCCUUUCCAUUCGCUUCUGGGGUUUCCUGCAAGCCCUGACAUUCCUUGGCUUGUAGAUACACCACCCCAGUUUCCGCCCCCAUCAUCACAUGGCCUCCUCUCUGUGUGUGCCUCUGCGUUCCCUCUAUUCUUCUUCUAAGGACACCGACACCAGUCAUAGUGGAUUAAGGGUCCACUCCUAACCAAUUACAUCUGCAACAACCCUAUUUCCA